rnacentral:snRNA from 1 species
AUGCUCAUUUUGGCAGCACAUAUGCUAAAAUUGAAACUACACAGAGAAGAUUAGCAUGGCCCAUGCACAAGGAUGACACACAAAUUUGUGAAGUGUUUGAUAUUUUU